UACGUAGGGGGCAAGCGUUGUCCGGAAUCAUUGGGCGUAAAGAGCGUGUAGGCGGCCCGGUAAGUCCGCUGUAAAAGUCAAGGGCUCAACCUUUGAAUGUCAGUGGAUACUGCCGGGCUAGAGUCCGGAAGAGGUGAGUGGAAUUCCUGGUGUAGCGGUGAAAUGCGCAGAUAUCAGGAGGAACACCGAUGGCGAAGGCAGCUCACUGGGACGGUACUGACGCUGAGACGCGAAAGCGUGGGGAGCAAACAGG
rnacentral:rRNA from 1 species